rnacentral:misc_RNA from 1 species
UGGCGGUGAUUGAUGAUGAAGAGAUAGAAAGGAGAUUGGGGAGAGAAUGGUGGAAACCUUUUGGAAGGCAGCGAAUUUGAAGGCUGUAGCCAUGGUGAAGAGGUUAGAGUUGGUGCUAGACUUGUUGGGAGUGAUCCAACUAGAUAAUCGAAGAUUGCUACUGGAAGUAGAGAAUGCACCAGGUGACAAGUUUUCAUUUCCUCAGGCAUUAAUAAAAGUGCAAAUCUUUGUAGAAUUAUAAACAUCAGAACUACAAGGGUCUCUGCCAAUCUGAAAUGCCAAGUCCCUGUCUCAUUAAUCUGUUUAUAAUCCUUCCAGUUCCCUCUACUUCAACACUCGCAUGACAAGGGGCAGAAAUACAAGAAUGAUUCAACGAGGACAUUGAGACUUGCUAUUGGGUUUGCCCAAAUUUCUGUAUCACUUGCUAAGCCUUCCAUUCUCUGUUCAGUUUGAGUUUCCAUAUGGGUCCUUCCAUUCUCGGUUCAGUUUGAGUUCCAAUAUAGGUUUAUUGUGUUUGCACUCUUCAAAAUAGCAGCUUGAAAAACUGUGUUGUUCAUAGUUUACAUAUGACACUGAGUCUUUUCUCAUUGCAGAUAGCGAUGAAGAUGAGCCUGCACAGUACCUGUGUCUUAUUCUGGGAAUCAUGUAGUGCUAUCAUUGUUAUAUGCUCAUGUAACAAUUAAUUUUAAAAUUUGGAAG